AACCAGCUGCAGUACUUUUUGUGUGGUGUGGAAGUGUUUGUUUUUUGCAAUAGAUUUUUGUUGCAGUUUAGGUUUGUAUUUUCUUUGUUUUGUAGUGCUUAUUAUGAAGGUUCGUAGGUUUAUGUCUGUAGGCCAGGCAGGUCAUUAAACUUAACAAAGAAUAAGUAAGUCGGGAGAGGGGAAUAGAAAUCUCCACAUACAUAUUCUUAAAAGCUGUAACACUCACCACAAAGAUCUGCUGAGUGAAGUCUGUGAGACGAACGCACCAAGUCUGGACGCUCUGUCAGGCUACAUUUUACGUUUUUGGGAGUGAGCAGGUGUUAUUCUGUUCCCCGGGUUGGUUUUGAAGUCAUGGCUCUCAAGUAAUUUUUGUGCUUCUCAAAAGUGCUGGAAUUGCAAAGAUCAACAUCAAAAGCUACAAACUGGAAACAGAGGAAGAUACUAGCCCCGUGUUUCUGAUUCAGUAUCACUGAAAUACUUUGGAACCAUAUAAAGGGCAAAGUACAUUCCACAUGUUGAAGGACAGUGCCUGGCCCUGUGGGGUGUCAUCCCCAAGCUGUAGGCAUAGUGGCAACCCAGGGGUUCAUCUCAACUCCCAUCAGAGUUCAAACAUUGAAUUAGUUGUGCAAUGGAAGGAGUAUUACCAGGACCCAGAUGCAGCCCAAGGAAAAAAGAAAACAAAAGGAGACACACACACCUCUUUCAUGCUCUGAGCAGAACUGCAUUGCAUACAAUCAAUCACCUACACUCACAGGCAAGAAUGUACUACUAUUGUAAUAAUGUAAAUUUUUCUAAAAUCACAAAAUGGAAAAUGCAUCUUAUUUGCUUUUAACGUUUUAGCAGAUGAUGUGGUCAAGUAAAUAAAUAAAAGGAGAGAAAGAGAAGUUCUGUGUGUGUGUGUGUGUGUGUGUGUGUGUGUGUGUGUGUGUGUCUGUCUGUCUAAGAUCCUUUUGUUGUUUGCUUUGGCCUAGUUUCUUAUGCUUUGAGGAAAAGCUCAUUCUCAUUCAUGUGACUUGCUUUGGCUAAUAGGACACCAGAGCAUGAUGCAAGUGUGGCUUAAUCGGUGCUUGCACAUUGGGCUUGUUCUUUCCAAACCUGUUGCCCCGAUUCUGCAAGGCUAUCCUGCUGUAGAAGGAGGCCCUGGAGGACAAGACACCAUGUGGGGAAAACAGCCAUGGGGAGCAGAACCGAGGUAUCCCAGCUUAGCUCCCAACUGACAGCAGCCACAUGAGUGAGCAGAAAAACAACUUCCAAGGGUGAUUUAGCUACUGCUGCUGUGGAAUGUCAAAACUUUCAGCAAGGGAGCCCGAUGCAGAUCUGUUGAUAUGACACCAUUCCACAAGAAGACCAACUGAUGGCUUUGUGGCAAGUUGACUACACUGGGCUGUUUCUAUUCUGGGAAGACAGAGAUUUGUUCUAAGAGGAAUAGGCAUGUGUUGCAGGCAUAGGUUGACCUUUCCUGCCAUGGAGCCUCCUCUGGUACCACUAUUUGAAGGUUGAAGGAAUGUUGAUUCACCAGGAUUGAGUCAGACCAGCCAAGCCUAUGACCAUGAUGUCAACUGACUGUAUCACCUGUCACAUCAUCCAGAAGCUACAGACUUAUAAGGCAUUGGAAUAACUUGUAGAUGGCCCCGUUAAAGUACCAGCUUAGAGGCAACACUCCAUGAGAAUGAGACAUCAUCUCCAGGAUGGCACAUACACAUUGAAUCACACAGCAUUGAUAAGGAGAUGGCUCCCCAGUAGGAAGAAUAUAUUGGUCAUGAACCAAGGGAUGAAGCAGAAGUGUCUUGCUUCCUGUCCCUGCAGCCUCUCUUUCUGCAGUGCUAGAAAUCCUGGUCAAAAGGGGGCAUAAUUUUAUCAGGGGACACAGCAAAAGUCUCCACUACAUUGCAGCUAUGCCUGCUGCCUGGGGAUUUUGGGCUUCUUAUAAUUGGGACCAGCAAUAAAAGAGAAGAGUCACAGUCUUGGCAGGGCUAAUUGACCCUGAUCAGCAGGAGAAGAAAGGCUGUGGUUCCACUAUGAGGGUAGGGAAGACGUGUGGCACCACUGAUCCACUUUUGCAACCCAUGGUACUCCCGUGGCCAGUUGUGAUGACAGACAAGUGCAGGAACACUUUUGGGAAGGGCAUGGUGGCCAGAGUUCAGACCCCAUGGGAAUGAGGACCAGGGUCACACCACUGGAUAAGCCAGGAGGAAGAGAGGCCCACUGGAAGGCUGGAGGAGCUGCUCCCCAGAUGUAGAUGAAGUAGAUUUGAGCAGCACAGUGGUGGACCUAGUAGAGGCGGACAUCAAGAUCCUCUUCAAGGAAAGAUUAUCAAUAUAGUUUUCCCUGACCCAGGUGCCAUGUGUUUUCUGUCAUAUUCACGUAUGCUAAUACAUAAUUGUGCAAGUGGGGUAAUAUCUGGGACACUUCAUGGUUCAUAUCAAAACACAGAGUGAAGAGAACAUCCUCUGGGCCAUCUCAGAGUGUGAGUUUGGGGCGGGGGUGGCUCCUGGUUAACAUUUCUGUCCACUGCAGCAUUCCUUUUCCCUUUUGCUUUUAGAUUCUUCCCUUGACAUCACACCAGGAAAGUCUGACAACUUAACUUUAUUGGAUAUAGGCAACCGUUGAAUCCAAGUUUUGCCCACUGAAUCCAUCAAAUUGUUACAGCCAAUUCUAGAUGCCUGAGUGGACACAUGAAAUCCAGAUUCCCCAGUAAGCGCAUCCCCAUUAAUAAACUGACCAAAUGCAAUGUUAA
rnacentral:lncRNA from 1 species